rnacentral:rRNA from 1 species
AUUGAACGCUGGCGGCAGGCCUAACACAUGCAAGUCGAGCGGAGCGGCGGACGGGUGAGUAAUGCCUAGGAAUCUGCCUGGUAGUGGGGGAUAACGUCCGGAAACGGGCGCUAAUACCGCAUACUAUCAGAUGAGCCUAGGUCGGUUUGGCUAGUUGGUGGGGUAAAGGCCUACCAAGGCGACGAUCCGUAACUGGUCUGAGAGGAUGAUCAGUCACACUGGGACUGAGAUACGGCCCAGACUCCUACGGGAGGCAGCAGUGGGGAAUAUUGGACAAUGGGCGAAAGCCGGAUACAGCCAUGCCGCGGGUGGGAAGAAGGUCUUAGGAUUGUAAAGCACUUUAAGUUGGGAGGCGUUACCAACAGAAUAAGCACCGGCUAACUUCGUGCCAGCAGCCGCGGUAAUAC